AUAGCUACCCGCGAGGAGGCUGCGUCCUGAGUGGCUGUGGCAGUACCUGCGCCAGGGGAACCUUCUGAUGGGGCAGGCGGCAGCACCCAGCGCGGUUGAGCCGAACCUGCCAUUCACGAUGCUGCCGGCAGAAGCUGGCUCUUGGAACUCCACAAGAACCUGAGAACGCUCUUCCCAUCCAAGCAGAUUACGAUGCCUAUGAUGCUCAAGCACAUCUCAAACUCCUAGACUCGAGUUAUCGUCCUGCCUCAGCCUCCACAGUAGUGGGGUCUUCAGAGUCUUGCUGAGUUGCCAAAGCUGGCCUGGAACUUGAGAUGCUCCUGCCUCAGCCUCCUGAAUAGCUGGCAGUACAGAUGUGUACACUGCACCAGGUAUGAAUCCUAAGAUUCAGAAUAUGUCGUAGAAGACAGUUUUUCUACCUCUUCAGAUCCAAGCCUUAUGUCCCAUAACUGUCCUGAGGAGGAGGACCAGUAUUGGUGGAGUAUGGGCAGAACUUUCCACAAAGUGACACUGAAGGACAAGAGGAUCACAGUGAUGCAAUACCUUCCCACAAAGGAACCACCACAGAAGGCUUCCAGAUGACCAGGCUCAUUUCUACACACUCUCUUGUGUCUGUAAGCCACACACUACCGAAGAAGAAAGGAACCUCAACUCUGUCUGCUUGGCGGGAGAUGGAGGCAAGUCGAGACUGCCUGGUUUGAGAGGAACCUGUUCACUGGAACAGAGGGUUUACAGUGCUUCACUCCUGUGACCAGGACAAAACAAAAUUUCCAUCUAUUAGGAGCUGCUGAGAAGAUGGAGGCCAGCCAUUCCCUGGUGCCUAGGAAAGCAGCAACUUUCCUAGCCAGCUGAGAGCAUCAGCAUUGCCAUGAGUCCCAUCUACAGGGACAGCCCAUGAAAGAACACGGCAAAAACCAAGAUCCCCAGGUUGUUCUUCCUCAGUUUUCAAGAAAGGAUUUCAAUUAAGGAUCGGAUUUGUACAAGAUAAAUAUUCUGCCUCUGCUUUUAGCUUCCCUGCUGAGAACAAGCCUCAAGACAUCCAUGUUACAGGAAAGAGCUAUGGGCAAAAAGUUAAUCAGGUGGGACCCUGUGGCAGGUGCAUGAGUCCUGGGGUAUCUGAGCCUCUUCACAGAGAUCUCUUCCCCUACACCAAGCCUGUGGUGGCAGAAGCACCUCGGCCAUCUCCGGGUGCCUCCCUGGCAGCCACACAGAUCCUGCCCUUUCCUUUCAGGAACAAUGUUUCUACAGGUGCCCUACUCCAAGUUUAAGUUCCCUGGUUCAGCCACAGUAGUGGAACUUCACCAUCUGCACCAACCAGAGCAUGCUCUGUGAGGACAGGUCAGUUACAACUGGGCCUACAUAACCAUGCUCACCAAGACGAAGUGUUUUUGCUCCAGGGGACCAAGAAGUUUGCUGAUAAACUGCUGGAUGAGUUCACAGACUUCUGCACCAACUGCAAUAACUGGCUGGUUAUGUUAUGAAUAAGUUGCCUGAACAAAACAAGAUACACAUCAGUGCCCCAUGAAUCCAGGCCACACAGGACUUAGAAGAUAUGCUGGGGCAGAGGAGUCCUGUCAGGCGCUGAGCAUCAGGUUAUCAGUUUGCUUCUGCUAGUUAGUGGGAGCCCUAGCUUCUUUUUGGCCCUCCCACAAGUAUUCUAUUCUACUCAGGAGAAAAAGCUGGGAAGCAGCUGCUGCUGCUACCUCCACCCAGAUCCUCUCAGCAAGUGCCCAGAGCAGGUGGGAGGCACAGAUUUUCUGUGGGAGGGCUUCAGUGUCUGGGAAAGGGGGCACGCAGCCCCCAUGAAUGUCUUUGGAGAAGGAAUGGCUCCUGAGAGCAUCCUUUUCCUCCACUGUCUAUGGAGUAAUCAGAGCAGAAUCUGCUGCUUCCCAUCCAGGAGUGUGUAUAGUGUGUAAGAGAAUUAAGUAAAAUAAUGGUCAUAGACUCACACCAACUGUAUAUACCUGUACCUGUCAGAAGCUAAUGAAGCUCCACUUAUAGCAUCUCUUUCCCCAAACUCAUUCCUAACCACAGCAGUCCAACCCUGGACUGGGCAUCAUUCCAGGUCAGUGCAGUAACUGCAGAAGGUGAAGACUUCAGAAGGCACUGACUUGUAGAGUGACUGUGAGUUGACUAAGAGAUUUGUUUUCACAGGCCCUGGUGCAGGAAUGAGGCUACCUCCAGUCAGGACUAGUGAACAGAGUACAACACACUAGGUUACUUAACCAUAGACUUGUUCUGUCAGAGGUGGAUCUUGCUGAAUGGGUGAGCCCAGCUCUGUAAUGCAGACACUAAUGUAUUCCUCUUUUUGAUGGGUAUAUCUUUCCACUCACUUAUGUAAGUCAGAAUCUGGAGUCUAACUCAGUGCCUUCCUCCUCCAUCAUCAUCCAGUUCUCCCACCUACCCAUCCAAAUUGUACCUCAUACCUUGCCACCUCCCUCUAUGCCUUCUGCCCAGGUGUAGAGCUCAGCCUCGGGGAAUAGAUGAUUUGGUUAAACAUUGAUAUGAUUUGAAUGUAUUCCCCCCCCCCCCAAAUUUUAUGUGUUGGAAACUUAAUCCCUAAACUCAUGUUUGUAGGAUUUGGGAGGUAGGACCUUUGGGAAGUGAUAAGGAUUAGAUGAGAUUAUGAGGGUGAGGCCCCCUUGAUGGCAUUGGUGACUUUGUAGGAUAUGGAAGUGAGACUCUGGAUAGCACGCUUGCUCUGUCUUGCUAUGUGAUGAUGCUCUUUAUCCUGUUGUAAUACAGCAAGAAUGCCCUCACAAGAUGCCAGUGCCAUGUUCUUGGACAUCUCAGCCUCCAGAAUCAGAAGCCAAAUAAACUUCUAUUCUUUGUAUAUUACCUGGUAUCAGGUAUUUUGUUACAGCCACAGAACACAAACUAAGUCAGAUAUGGGUCAGGUGCAGUGGUGCAUCCCUGUAAUCCUAGCAGCUCAGGAGGCUGAGGCAGGAGGUUUGCAAGGUCAAAGCCAUCCUCAGCAACUUAGCAAGCU